rnacentral:rRNA from 1 species
AGAGUUUGAUCCUGGCUCAGAAUGAACGUUGGCGGCGUGGAUUAGGCAUGCAAGUCGAGCGAGAACCCGCAAGGGGGACAGCGGCAAACGGGGUAGUAACGGGUAGGUGACGUACCCUCGGGUCGGGGAUAGCCACGGGAAACUGUGGGUAAUACCCGAUAAUCUCCUGGAGCGUGAUUAAGCUUCGGGAGCAAAGGUGUGAUUCCACCUGGGGAGCGGCCUGCUUCGUAUUAGCUAGUUGGUGAGGUAACGGCUCACCAAGGCGACGAUGCGUAGGGGGUGUGAGAGCAUGACCCCCACCACUGGGACUGAGAUACUGCCCAGACACCUACGGGUGGCUGCAGUCGAGAAUCUUCGGCAAUGGGCGCAAGCCUGACCGAGCGACGCCGCGUGUGGGAUGAAGGCCCUUGGGUUGUAAACCACUGUCAGAGGGGAUGA